AUUGAACGCUGGCGGCAGGCUUAACACAUGCAAGUCGAGCGGGGUGAUGGUGCUUGCACUAUCACUUAGCGGCGGACGGGUGAGUAAUGCUUAGGAAUCUGCCUAUUAGUGGGGGACAACAUCUCGAAAGGGAUGCUAAUACCGCAUACGUCCUACGGGAGAAAGCAGGGGAUCACUUGUGACCUUGCGCUAAGAGAUGAGCCUAAGUCGGAUUAGCUAGUUGGUGGGGUAAAGGCCUACCAAGGCGACGAUCUGGAGCGGGUCUGAGAGGAUGAUCCGCCACACUGGGACUGGGACACGGCCCAGACUCCUACGGGAGGCAGCAGUGGGGAAUAUUGGACAAUGGGGGGAACCCUGAUCCAGCCAUGCCGCGUGUGUGAAGAAGGCCUUAUGGUUGUAAAGCACUUUAAGCGAGGAGGAGGCUCUUUUGGUUAAUACCCAAGAUGAGUGGACGUUACUCGCAGAAUAAGCACCGGCUAACUCUGUGCCAGCAGCCGCCGUAA
rnacentral:rRNA from 1 species